UGGCAAUGAGCUUUUGAGAAGGAUGGCGCUUGCAGCUUUGAAUAUAGUUUACACAAAGAUUGCUUAGAGAUCUUCUACCGAUUUCAGAAAAUAUAAUCAUCAAUGGUUUACAUCAAUUAACUUUGAUAUUUUCCAUCUCAAAUGUAUAGAAUCACUUGCGUUGCAGAUAGAUAGGAUCUUGACAUUUACAAUCUUGUCAAAGUAGAUCACUUCGAGAUUGCAGUUUUGCUAUUAAUGAUCUUCCGCAAUACCUAAUCACAAACAUUCAAGAAUAUCAAGUUAUUUGUCUUCCCAUAUUUCUAUUCUCUUACAGGGUUAACUGAGACUAACGUUUGUGUCGUUUUUAUGUGUUUCACCAAAGUGUGGCUGGCUUGUUCAGUCUUGGACAUUGAUUGUGUCUUUGGCAUCCAUAUAUAGCCACAGAGACAAAUCGUCAUUCCAUAUAUCCACAUUGAUCUGAGCAUUUUCUUCAUUCAAUUUGAGACAUGGGACUCCCAUGAUGGGAGAUAUGCAUGAUACCACUUACUUCGAUUCUUACAUCAAUUUGC
rnacentral:lncRNA from 1 species